rnacentral:rRNA from 1 species
UGGGUAACCUGCCUGAGAGGGUGUACGGUCACAUUGGAACUGAGACACGGUCCAGACUCCUACGGGAGGCAG